rnacentral:lncRNA from 1 species
UGGAUUGAAUAGCUGUUGAUGAUGAUGAAACUUCUAUUUAAUUUAGACAGAUCAAAUUGUAACGGUCCACCCGUUAUAAUAUCAUUUUUAGCGCUUUAAUUAGUUUUAGAAUUAUUUUCUCUUGACCGCUUAAUUAAAUUUCUCUAAUUUGUGGUAAUUCUCAAUUUAGAAAUACUAUUUUCUCUUAUAUUUUAUGAAAAUUAUUUAUUUUCAAUACGUCACCAUCAAACCAAUUUAAAACUAUCUUUUGGAGUUGUUGGAUUGGCAGCGGCCCUCUGGUGGUCGACAUUCUUUCGCGUUCUGUGAGUUUGACAUCGUACUAUUGGAUGGAGAGACGAAUGUUCGUUACUUGACUUGUGGCUGUAUGUGAGGUUGGAUGGCGGAUGAGUUCCAUUCUACUUAUUUGAUGUAACAUCAAUUAUUUUAAAGUAAAAAGUUACCACCGAGGAUUGUCUGGAGUAGGGAGACAUGUGUGUGACAAAACUCUUGUUGGAGCCUGAAUAGGAAUCAUUCGCCAUUUUGGAGAAACCAUAUGGUGAAUUCGUAGCCCUUUGACCACCUAGGGAAACCACUACAGCCACAGUCAAGUCAUCAUGGGAAUAGGUAUAUUUGGGAACAAGCUAGGGGACGUUCCCUAACAGAUUGUAACAGAUAAAAUUAUUGUAGUUAUCUCAAAUAUAACUUUGUAUAACAUAUGUCAUUUUAGAGUCACAUAAUAUGCACUUUGUUUACAUCAGAGAUUGUCAAACAUCUAGUAGUUAUUUUUAAUAAAUAUUUACUUAUUUUGUA